ensembl:lncRNA
GUGGUUUGAGACUCGGACGGAUGGUUUGAGGUUUGGAUGGUCGGAUGUUCGAUAGUUGGAUGUCUGAAUGGAUCGAUGAUUUGAUGGAUGGGUCGAUGGUUGGAUGGUUUGGUGGUUUGAUGCUCGGAUGGAUGGUUUGAGGUUUGGAUGGUCGGAUGGGUCGAUAGUUGGAUGUCUGAAUGGAUUGAUGAUUUGAUGGAUGGGUCAAUGGUUGGAUGGUUUGGUGGUUUGAGCUCCUAAAGGAAUUCCACGAGGACUGAUCUAAAGUAUAACUUUGUCCCUCUGUGUCCAUGUAGCACAGAGGAACAUAUGUCAUGUUUUAUCUGUUAGCUUUUUACCAAAUACAUUCCAUCUGAGAGCCUUUGAAGAAGUUUUUCCCUCUUAAAACCUCUUGUAUAAUUUUUAUUUAUUUAUUAAUAUAAUAAACUCUCGAAGGAAGACAACUAAACAUUUGAAUGUUCUUAAAAUAUAAGAAGACUUAAUCAUACAUGUAUUAAUUAAUGAGGUAUCUACAGUAUUAUUUUGUCACAUAACUUCUAUUUCAUUUGGAACAUUUUUCAUUACUGUUAAUGAU